rnacentral:rRNA from 1 species
CGAGCACGCGCGUGUGGCAUAUCAAUAAGCGGAGGAAAAGAAACUAACAAGGAUUCCCUUAGUAACGGCGAGUGAAGCGGGAAGAGCUCAAAUUUGAAAUCUUCAAGGUUCUACCUUGACGAAUUGUAGUUUAUAGAAGUGUUUUCUGUUAGUAGGAGUGGCAAAAGUUCUUUGGAAUAGGACAUCAUAGAGGGUGAGAAUCCCGUAUUUGGUCAUUCUUCCUAGCGUUGUGAUACACUUUCAACGAGUCGGAUUGUUUGGGAAUGCAGUCCAAGAUGGGUGGUAAAUUUCAUCUAAAGCUAAAUAUUGGCGAGAGACCGAUAGCGAACAAGUACCGUGAGGGAAAGAUGAAAAGAACUUUGAAAAGAGAGUUAAACAGUACGUGAAAUUGUCAAAAGGGAAGCGUUUGACACCAGUGUUGUUUUUCCGAAAAUCAAUUACGAAUGUUUUGUUUUUGAGGAGUUAUGACUUCAUCGGCUUGCUUCUUUCUUUACGAAACUUUCUUAAUGCACUUUUCGGUUAACAAGUCAACAUCAAUUUCUUUGUUGUAAAAGGGUACGAGGAAGGUGGCUUUCUUUUCGGAGAAAGUGUUUAUAGCCUUGUGCCUCUGCAAUCGGAGAGAUUGAGGUCUGCAGCGUAGAUCCUUCGGGGUUAGAUACGUUUGUGCUAAGUUAUAGCUUUUCAUAGACAACUUGUUGACUAUGUUUAGUCUUGUAGCUUACUCGCUGAUGCUAUUUUACCUACGCUUAGGAUGUUGAUGUGAUACUGCGAGCA